UGGGGAAUUUUGCGCAAUGGGGGAAACCCUGACGCAGCAACGCCGCGUGGAGGAUGAAGUCCCUUGGGACGUAAACUCCUUUCGACCGGGACGAUUAUGACGGUACCGGUGGAAGAAGCCCCGGCUAACUUCGUGCCAGCAGCCGCGGUAAUACGAGGGGGGCAAGCGUUGUUCGGAAUUAUUGGGCGUAAAGGGUGCGUAGGCGGCUCGAUAAGUAUGGUGUGAAAUCUCCCGGCUUAACUGGGAGGGUGCGCUAUAGACUGCCGGGCUAGAGUGUGGGAGAGGAAAGUGGAAUUCCUGGUGUAGCGGUGAAAUGCGUAGAUAUCAGGAGGAACACCGGUGGUGUAAACGGCUUUCUGGACCAUAACUGACGCUGAGGCACGAAAGCGUGGGUAGCAAACAGGAUUAGAUACCCUGGUAGUCCACGCCCUAAACGAUGCAUAUUUGGUGUGGGUCAUUCAGUUGAUCCGUGCCGGAGCUAACGCGUUAAAUAUGCCGCCUGGGGAGUACAGUCGCAAGGCUG
rnacentral:rRNA from 1 species